rnacentral:misc_RNA from 1 species
GAUGAAGAACGCAGCGAAAUGCGAUAAGUAAUGUGAAUUGCAGAAUUCAGUGAAUCAUCGAAUCUUUGAACGCACCUUGCGCCCUUUGGCUAUUCCGAAGGGCAUGCCUGUUUGAGUAUCAUGAACACCUCAACUCUUUAUGGUUUUCCAUGAAGGGCUUGGACUUUGGGGGUCUUGCUGGCCUUUAGUCAGCUCCUCUCAAACGAAUCAGCUUUCCAGUGUUUGGCAGCGUCACAGGUGUGAUAACUAUCUACGCUUGUGGUUUUCUGCCAGGUAAUCCUCAGUGAUGGGGAUUCGCUGGGGCUUAUAAAUGUCUCUCCUCAGCGAAGACAGCUUUUUUGAACGUUUGAUCUCAAAUCAGGUAGGACUACCCGCUGAACUUAAGCAUAUCAAUAAGCGGAGGA